UGAGGAAUAUUGGUCAAUGGGCGCGAGCCUGAACCAGCCAAGUCGCGUGAGGGAAGACGGUCCUAAGGAUUGUAAACCUCCUUUGUCGGGGAGCAAAAGGCAGUUAUGUGCCAAUUGAGAGUACCCGAAGAAAAGACAUCGGCUAACUCCGUGCCAGCAGCCGCGGUAAUACGGAGGAUGCGAGCGUUAUCCGGAUUUAUUGGGUUUAAAGGGUGCGUAGGCUGAAUGUCAAGUCAGCGGUAAAAUAGAGAGGCUUAACCUCUUCGAGCCGUUGAAACUGGUGUUCUAGAGUGGGCGAGAAGUAUGCGGAAUGCGUGGUGUAGCGGUGAAAUGCAUAGAUAUGACGCAGAACUCCGAUUGCGAAGGCAGCUUUCCAGCGCGCUACUGACGCUGAGGCACGAAAGCGUGGGGGAUCGAACA
rnacentral:rRNA from 1 species